rnacentral:miRNA from 1 species
GCUGACGUGGAAGGAAAUCGCUA